AGCGAACGCUAGCGGCGGGCCUAACACAUGCAAGUCGAGCGCAUACCUUCGGGUAUGAGCGGCGGACGGGUGAGUAACACGUAGGUAAUCUACCCUUUGGUGGGGAAUAACCCGGGGAAACUCGGGCUAAUGCCGCACGAGGUCUACGGAUCAAAGCCUUCGGGCGCCAGAGGAUGAGCCUGCGUUGCAUUACCUAGUUGGCGGGGUAACGGCCCACCAAGGGGACGAUGCAUAGCUGGGUCUGAGAGGAUGAUCAGCCACACUGGGACUGAGACACGGCCCAGACUCCUACGGGAGGCAGCAGUGGGGAAUAUUGCGCAAUGGGGGAAACCCUGACGCAGCUACGCCGCGUGGGUGAUGAAGGCCUUCGGGUUGUAAAGCCCUGUCGGGAGGGACGAAUACUGACGGUACCUCCCAAGAAAGCACCGGCUAACUCCGUGCCAGCAGCCGCGGUAAU
rnacentral:rRNA from 1 species